GAUGAACGCUAGCGGCGUGCCUAAUACAUGCAAGUCGAGCGAAUGGAUUAAGAGCUUGCUCUUAUGAAGUUAGCGGCGGACGGGUGAGUAACACGUGGGUAACCUGCCCAUAAGACUGGGAUAACUCCGGGAAACCGGGGCUAAUACCGGAUAAUAUUUUGAACUGCAUGGUUCAAAAUUGAAAGGCGGCUUCGGCUGUCACUCAUGGAUGGACCCGCGUCGCAUUAGCUAGUUGGUGAGGUAACGGCUCACCAAGGCAACGAUGCGUAGCCGACCUGAGAGGGUGAUCGGCAACACUGGGACUGAGACACGGCCCAGACUCCUGCGGGGGGCAGCAGUAGGGAAUCUUCCGCAAUGGACGAAAGUCUGACGGAGCAACGCCGCGUGAGUGAUGAAGGCUUUCGGGUCGUAAAACUCUGUUGUUAGGGAAGAACAAGUGCUAGUUGAAUAAGCUGGCACCUUGACGGUACCUAACCAGAAAGCCACGGCUAACUACGUGCCAGCAGCCGCCGUAA
rnacentral:rRNA from 1 species